rnacentral:sRNA from 1 species
UCAGGAUGGACGCUUCAGUCCAGCCAGGCCCUUUUCGGACCCUGCUCCAGUUUCUUUAUACGGGACAACUGGAUGAAAAGGAAAAGGAUUUGGUGGGCCUGGCUCAGAUCGCGGAGGUCCUAGAGAUGUUCGAUUUGAGGAUGAUGGUGGAAAACAUCAUGAACAAGGAAGCCUUCAUGAACCAGGAGAUUACGAAAGCCUUUCACGUAAGGAAAGCCAAUCGGAUAAAAGAGUGUCUCAGCAAGGGAACGUUCUCGGGUGUAUCUCCCGAACAUAAACAAGAUAUCAAUGCAAGCAGUAUUGGAUUAUCUCUAUACCAAGCAGUUGUCUCCUAACUUGGAUCUGGACCCGCUGGAAUUAAUUGCCUUGGCAAACAGAUUUUGCCUGCCACACUUGGUUGCACUUGCAGAUUUGUUCAGUUGGGAAGCUGAAGCAGGUCUGCAUAGGAUAUAUGAACUUAAAUGCCUCUCUCUGG